rnacentral:rRNA from 1 species
GCUUAAUUUGACUCAACACGGGGAAACUUACCAGGUCCAGACAUAGCAAGGAUUGACAGACUGAGAGCUCUUUCUUGAUUCUAUGGGUGGUGGGGGCGUUAACAUCUCCAUAGAGCUCCCGCA